ACGGGUGAGUAACACGUGAAUUACAUGCCCUUCAGUGGGGAAUAGCCCAGGGAAACUUGGAUUAAUACCCCAUGGUAUCGCAAGAUUAAAGGUGGCCGCAAGGCUGUCGCUGAAGGAUUGGUUCGCGCCCUAUCAGCUUGUUGGUGAGGUAACGGCUCACCAAGGCUACGACGGGUACCUGGUCUGAGAGGACGAUCAGGCACACUGGAACUGAGACACGGUCCAGACACCUACGGGUGGCAGCAGUCGAGAAUAAUUCACAAUGGGGGCAACCCUGAUGGUGCAACGCCGCGUGGAGGAUGAAGGUCUUCGGAUUGUAAACUCCUGUCAUCUGGGAGUAAGACCUGGCUGUGAAUAGCAGACAGGGUUGAUAGUACCAGAAGAGGAAGGGACGGCUAACUUCGUGCCAGCAGCCGCGGUAAUACGAAGGUCCCGAGCGUUGUUCGGAAUCACUGGGCGUAAAGGGAGCGUAGGCGGCGUGGUAAGUCAGAUGUGAAAUCCCGGGGCUCAACCCCGGAACUGCAUCCGAUACUGCCGUGCUAGAGGAUUGGAGAGGUAGCUGGAAUUCUUGGUGUAGCAG
rnacentral:rRNA from 1 species